CGGAUCGGAGUCUGNAACCCGACUCCGUGAAGCUGGAUUCGCUAGUAAUCGCGCAUCAGCCAUGGCGCGGUGAAUACGUUCCCGGGCCUUGUACACACCGCCCGUCAAGCCAUGGAAGCCGGGAGUGCCUGAAGUAUGCAACCGCAAGGAGCGUCCUAAGGUAAAACCGGUGACUGGGGCUAAGUCGUAACAAGGUAAC
rnacentral:rRNA from 1 species